rnacentral:rRNA from 1 species
AGAGCGAACGCUGGCGGCAGGCCUAACACAUGCAAGUCGAACGCACCUUCGGGUGAGUGGCGGACGGGUGAGUAACACGUGGGAACGUACCUUUUGGUUCGGAAUAACGCAGAGAAAUUUGCGCUAAUACCGAAUGAGCUCGAAAGAGGAAAGAUUUAUCGCCGAAAGAGCGGCCCGCGUUAGAUUAGCUAGUUGGUGGGGUAAAGGCCCACCAAGGCUACGAUCUAUAGCUGGUCUGAGAGGAUGAUCAGCCACAUUGGGACUGAGACACGGCCCAAACUCCUACGGGAGGCAGCAGUGGGGAAUCUUGCGCAAUGGGCGAAAGCCUGACGCAGCCAUGCCGCGUGAAUGAUGAAGGUCUUAGGAUUGUAAAAUUCUUUCAGUAGGGACGAUAAUGACGGUACCUACAGAAGAAGCCCCGGCUAACUUCGUGCCAGCAGCCGC